UACAGAGGUCCCAAGCGUUGUUCGGAUUCAUUGGGCGUAAAGCGCACGUAGGCGGUUUUUUAAGUCAGAUGUGAAAGCCCCGGGCUCAACCUGGGAAUUGCAUUUGAAACUGGAAAACUAGAGUGUGUGAGAGGGGGGUAGAAUUCCAAGUGUAGCGGUGAAAUGCGUAGAGAUUUGGAGGAAUACCAGUGGCGAAGGCGGCCCCCUGGCACAACACUGACGCUCAGGUGCGAAAGCGUGGGGAGCAAACAGG
rnacentral:rRNA from 1 species